AAAAAGAGAAACCCUGGGUUUCCGUGUCCAACUUUAACUGUCCAUCUUAUAUGAAAUUUUUUUAUAAUUCGUAUUUUCAUUGUUGUUAGAUGAUAAAACAUGAUUAAUAUUUUAUGCGUGACUUGUCUUUUUAAUUUUUUUCAUAAUUUUUAUAAAUAAGACGGAUGUUCAAACGUUGGGCACGGAAACCAGGGAUUGUCUUUUU
rfam:Oryza nivara chromosome 9, whole genome shotgun sequence.